GCCGCGAGGCGGAGGAGACGCCGGGACGCCAUUGUUGUUCCAGCUGCCGCAGUGGUAGGUUGUACCAGCUGCCGCAGGUACGUUGUUCCAGCCACCACAGGUGCCUGACAAUAACUAAAGAAGAGUGAGCAGGUUGACACUUGAGGAUGAACAGCAGUGAAGCCAAAGCUUGCAGGAUGACUAAAUUAAGAAACACUGUAGAGGAACGAGUGAAAACCUGGAGCUUAAAUGAUAAGUUGAAAUAAUCU